rnacentral:tRNA from 1 species
GGGGCCAUAGCUCAACUGGGAGAGCAUCUGCCUUGCAAGCAGAAGGUUAUCGGUUCGAUCCCGAUUGGCUCCA